GGUAUAGUGUGGCACAGUGGUCUGAAUGCUGGACUAGGACCACAUAGUACCAGGGUUCAAAUCCCUGCUGUGCCA